rnacentral:ncRNA from 1 species
UUCUGACAGCGAAAGCUGACAUUAGCCACGACAGGAGAAAUAACAUG